GCAUAUCAAUAAGCGGAGGAAAAGAAAAUAACAAUGAUUUCCCUAGUAACGGCGAGUGAAGAGGAAAGAGCUCAAAGUUGGAACCUGUUUGGCCUAGCUAAACCGGAUUGUAGACUGUAGAAGUGUUUUCCAGGCAAGCCGAGUAAAUAAGUCCUUUGGAACAGGGCAUCAUAGAGGGUGAGAAUCCCGUCUUUGGCUUGAGCAUUUGCCUUUUGUGAUACGCUUUCAAAGAGUCAGGUUGUUUGGGAAUGCAGCCUAAAUUGGGUGGUAAAUCUCACCUAAAGCUAAAUAUUGGCGAGAAACCGAUAGCGAACAAGUACCGUGAGGGAAAGAUGAAAAGAACUUUGAAAAGAGAGUUAAACAGUAUGUGAAAUUGUUAAAAGGGAACCGUUUGGAGCCAGACUGGCUUGUCUGUAAUCAAUCUAGGCUUCGGCCUGGAUGCACUUGCAGGCUAUGCCUGCCAACGACAAUUUGACUUGAGGGAAAAAACUAGGGGAAAUGUGGCCCACUUGUGGGUGUUAUAGUCCCUUAGAAAAUACCUUGGGUUGGAUUGAGGAACGCAGCGAAUGCUUAUUGGCGAGUUUUCCAGGAAGGUUUUCUGAGGUACUACGGUAUCAAGGUUGAUCUUUUUGGUUAUACUUCUAUUCGCUUAGGUUGUUGGCUUAA
rnacentral:rRNA from 1 species